CCGAGGAAAGCGCUGGCAGGGAUACGAGCGCUGCAGGUGGUGCCGUGAGGUCUGUGCUCUCCUUGCUGUUGGGCAUGAGUUACCGCCCGUGAAUCAAACCUGCCCCUCGGUCACCGGCAGUCAGCACGCACCUCGGACCGCAGACAGGCCCGCUUCUCACCUGACUAAGAUUUGGACCUGAAACCUGCAGGGGCUUGCCAGACGCUUGACUUUGUUUUCAGUGGAACUAUUCAGAGUGUAUUACGUGAAGCACACACAACAAUCCAAGAGACUUGAGUCAGGAAGUCUUAAGGCACUGAAGACGUAAGAAGAAGUUAAAUUGCCUGUGAUCAAAUCAAUUAUACUUCAGAUCGGACUGUGGCAGGGCUUUUUGGUUCUCAACCAGAUGGAACUGGACUUCUUGUGAAGGAGCUCAGCAGAGAAGCAGCAGCAAUUCUAACUCCCUAAUUCUUGAGGCAGGACAGAACUUGUUAGAGAAGUACAGCCUGUCUCCUCUCCAGGAAACCCCUCCUUGCUUCCUCUCUUGAUGCCGAGAUAAAAAACUGCUGGCAAAGAAGCAGAGCCAAACAAGGGUUUGGCAUAGAAAAUGGCUCUCACAGCACUGCCAGAAGAAGGGAAUGCUGGAAAGAAGAUUCCUGGAGAGGGUUUAACUUCACUGUGCACCAUGCAAGCAGCACAACGUGAGGCUGAAGAUGAACAGAUCCUGUCUCAAAACUGCUAGGAGAUCGUAGAUGGAGUAACAUAGAAAGCCUAAUGCUUGAAUUUAUCACUACAAAUGGAGUAAAAUGUUUUUAAUGUAUUUGCAAGUGGCAAGCAGUUCAGUGGAGCCUCAGUAUUAAGCAUCAUUUAUGCCUGCUUUCUGGCCUGUUACAGUUUCAGUGUAAGCAAAAUUCAAGUGUACGUUGUCUCCUUCACACAGAUGCAGUUAAAAAUUCUAGCAUGAAGGUUGUUGAUGCUAGUAAAAACUGUUUGCCUAAGGACAAACUUCAGAGGAAUGCGAAUUUUCCGGUAUCUCCUGAUUCUUCUCAGGCUGACUGUCAGAGAAAUCACUGUACUUGAGGUAGUUCCGUGCUUCUCUCACCAAACCGUAAGAAUUAAAAAUUUAAAAAAAAAAAAAAAAAAUUAAAAAAGUAGAAUUCGGAAUGAGCAUGAAAUAUUUAUUUUCAGCUAUCACAAGUUUUUGUUGGAUUUCUGGAAAACAUUUGGGGUUUAUCUGUCUUCAAGUUCAAGCCCUUGGUUUCCUCCAGAUUUGUGGAUGCUACCAUUAAUACUUAGUCAUAGCACAGAACAGCCCUUUGCUUACUUCUGUUGGGUUUGGGGUGUUUUGCCUGCUGCAAGUGAAAACAUAAAAAUAUUAAGAACCAGAAAUGAAUGUGGAAAAACCUUUGAAAAUAAACUAACUCCAGUGCUUCAAAUUGUUAGA